rnacentral:tmRNA from 17 species
GGGGCCGAUCCGGAUUCGACGUGGGUCAUGAAACAGUUCAGGGCAUGUCGAGCACCAGUACGCUCGUAAAACCACUGGAAACAAUACAAACGCCAACGACGAGCGUUUCGCUCUCGCCGCUUAAGCGGUGAGCCGCUGCACUGAUCUGUCCUUGGGUCAGGCGGAGGAAGCAACUCCCGUAAGGGAGCCAUCGCCUAAAGGGGCAACCCUUGAACCGCAGCAGUGUUAUUCACAAGGAAUCGGUCUGCGCUGGGGUCACACGGUUCAGGCUUAAAUUACGUGAAUCGCUUCGGUCCGGCCCGUUGAUCGGCUAAGUCCGGGGUUAAAUCCAAAUAGAUCAACUAAGCAUGUAGAACUGACUGCGGAGGGCUUGCGGACGGGGGUUCAAUUCCCCCCGGCUCCACCA